CCUACGGGUGGCAGCAGUGAGGAAUAUUGGACAAUGGGCGCGAGCCUGAACGAGCAAAGUAGCGUGAAGGAUGAAGGCCCUACGGGUGGUAAACUUCUUUUAUAAAGGAAUAAAGUGAGGCACGUGUGCCUUUUUGUAUGUACUUUAUGAAUAAGGAUCGGCUAACUCCGUGCCAGCAGCCGCGGUAAUACGGAGGAUCCGAGCGUUAUCCGGAUUUAUUGGGUUUAAAGGGAGCGUAGAUGGGUUGUUAAGUCAGUUGUGAAAGUUUGCGGCUCAACCGUAAAAUUGCAUUUGAUACUGGCAGUCUUGAGUACAGUUGAGGUAGGCGGAAUUCGUGGUGUAGCGGUGAAAUGCUUAGAUAUCACGAAGAACUCCGAUUGCGAAGGCAGCUUACUAGACUGCCACUGACAUUGAUGCUCGACAGUGUGGGUAUCAAACAGGAUUAGAUACCCGUGUAGUC
rnacentral:rRNA from 1 species